rnacentral:rRNA from 1 species
ACGGGUGAGUAACGCGUGGGUAACCUGCCUCAUACAGGGGGAUAACAGUUAGAAAUGACUGCUAAUACCGCAUAAGCGCACAGUGAUGCAUGGCACAGUGUGAAAAACUCCGGUGGUAUGAGAUGGACCCGCGUCUGAUUAGCUAGUUGGUGGGGUAACGGCCUACCAAGGCGACGAUCAGUAGCCGGCCUGAGAGGGUGAACCGGCCACAUUGGGACUGAGACACGGCCCAAACUCCUACGGGAGGCAGCAUG